rnacentral:lncRNA from 1 species
UUAGUUACUCAAUUGAACUAAACAUAAACACGAGCAUAAAUACAAAUAUGCAUGAGUUCUCUCUACUUCAUGGAGGUUCUAUUUCCCUUAUGUCAAACGUUAUAGCACAGAUGUUCCAAAUCCUUUAGCGACCAUAUAGUGACAAAACGCACGACUAUAUCAAUUAUAUAGUAACAUAUAGAACAUAGGGGGAGCUUCACUUGCUCUGGUUAGGUCAAACCGACCUAUUGCUAGGCUCAAAUCAGUUCCACGACGUCCCGAAAUUCAGCUCUACUAGACUUCAACCCUGCUGAAAACGAUGCAUCAGAACCGCGUCGAGACGAUUAAUUAAGAAUCCAAUUUCGGCAAAACUCUUAAGUAGAAUAAGGUAGUAACUUGAAUUCCUGGUUUGGGUUACAUUAGUACCUCAAAUGUAACCUCUAAGAGUCCUCACAACUCAGCCGAACGCAAUCCAAGGCUCGAUCGUAGUCUCGCUGCGAACAACAUCAAAAUGGCAUCAAAAUGCUAGUAUACGCAUUAAAAUACCCGAAAUCUAGUGAAUUCAGUUUUCUAACUGAAAUUCCUGCUUACCCCAGGUUAAAAUAUCCUCCAAACCAACUUCUAAGAGCACAAGUUCAGCUCAAAGUAGUUCGCAAACCUGCUGCGAAGACAUCCUUCCAAACUGCGUUGAGUUACUCAAGUAGGUUGCAAAUAGCUUCGAAAUAACUUCAUAAUAACUAAUUUACCUUAGUCCAGCCUUAAAGCAACUUUUCACUGAUAAUUCAUAGCCAAAAUAACUCCUCUUUACUACUGAAAACAGCCCCUACAUCAGUUGAAAGCAGGGAAAUCCAAUCAACUCAAAAUCCAAUACGAAACCACAAUCAAGAGAGAAGUUAAGCUAAUUACCUCUUCAAAGCUGAGAGUCAGCUUUCCCUGGUGAGAACCUCACAGAAAACUCAGUAAAGAUACUUCUCCCCACGACCCAACGACCUCCCCAGCGUUUCCAAACCAGCGAGCGACGAACGCGGCAAGAAAUAAGCUCGAUUCGGCGAUCUCCAAUUGAAGAGAGAGAAACCCUAGAGAGAGAAAGAGGGGAAGGUGCAAAGCUGCUUCUCAGGCCUCUAGCAACUUCCACUGAACACCAGGGGUUGAGCUGGAGUUAUGAAGAUAAGAUCAAAUGCCCAAAAGACCAAAAAAUCCUGCUGCCACGCAGCAGCUGCUGCUGCUGCUUGCUGUACCGGUACAGCAUAAUGCCUGUACCGGUACAUAAUGCAAAAUUCGAGAGAAAUGCCACAACAAUGCACUUUCUUGCUUUUAGCCAUCCAAUCACUCUCUGACUUGUCGAAAAACUUGCCCAAGCCCUUUUGAACAUGUAGGAUAGAUCCACAUAUUCUUCCUCACACUCGAACUUCUCAAUUUGCAUAAGUUCAGUGUAUUACAUUCACCACUUCUAAAAAGGGGUUUCGUCCGCGAAGCUUGUAAAUACUUAGUUCAAGAUUCCGUCGAGAAAAGAUAGGGGUAGUGUUCUUGCAUUGCACUCUCCAAUUCCCAAGUGGCAUCUCGUUCAUCAUGAUUGCUCCAAAGUAUCUUCACGUAGGGUAUUUCGCGAUUUCGAAGCCGUUUCACUUCUCGAGCUAGUAUUCUCACUGGAUGUUCCUCAAAACUCAGAUCUUCUCGCAAAUCCACUGGGGUACUCUCAAGUACGUGGGUUGGAUCAAAAACAUACUUUCGGAGUGUAGAUACAUGAAACACAUUGUGCACUCCCGAUAGGUUCGGCGGCAAAGCAAGCCGAUACGCUACGGGGCCUAUCCGCUCCAACACCUCGUAAGGUCCAAUAAAUCGAGGACUUAACUUUCCUCGAAUACCAAAUCUCUUAACUCCCUUUGUCGGUGAAACUUUUAAGAAUACAUGAUCGCAAUUUUGAAAUUCCAAUUCUCGCCGACGUUUAUCCGCAUAGCUUCUUUAUCGACUUUGAGCUGUCAGUAGAUGUUCUCGUGCAAAUCGAACUUUAGCUUCAGCCUCUUGUAACACAUCUGGACCCAAAACUAAUCUCUCCCCCACUUCACUCCAAUAAAGUGGUGAUCUACAUUUUCUGCCAUAAAGGGCUUCAAACGGUGCCAUCUGAAUGCUUGCUUGAUAACUAUUGUUAUAAGUAAAUUCAGCCAUCGGUAAGAACUGUGGCCAACUGCCCUGGUAAUCAAUCACACAGGCUCUCAACAUAUCCUCAAGGGUCUAGAUGGUACGCUCGGACUGCCCAUCACUCUGGAGGUGGAAAGCAGUACUAAAAUCCAAUCGAGUACCCAGAGCCUCCUGUAAAUUUCUCCAGAAGUGUGAAACAAAGCGGGUGUCUCGAUCUGAAACAAUAGAAGCAGGUACUACGUGUAAUUGCACAAUUUCAUCAAGAUACACUUGUGCGAGUCUUUCCCCCAACCAAACUGUAUGAAUUGGAAUAAAGUGAGCAGAUUUAGUCAAUCUAUCCACAAUUACCCAAAUUGCAUCAUGACCUGCCUGUGAGCGAGGUAAUCUAACAAUGAAAUCCAUAGUAAUCCUCUCCCACUUCCACACUGGUAAGGGUAAGCUUUGAAGUUUUCCAGCAGGAAGUCGAUGUUCAGCCUUAACCUGCUGACAGGUUAAGCAUCUGGCCACAAAAUCUGCAACUUCUUUUUUUAUUCCAGGCCACCAAUAAGUCAGCUCAAAUCUUUAUACAUUUUCGUACUCCCAGGGUGUAAAGCAUACGGCGCUCGAUGGGCUUCUGUUAAAAUUUCUUCUUUAACACCAGAAUCUGCCGGUACACAAAGUCUAUCACCAAAUUUCAACAGUCCUUGAUCAUCCGCUCGAAAAUCACUAACAUGAUCAGCAGUGAUCUUUGCUCGAAUCUUUUGUAGGAAUUCAUCCUGAGCUUGCUUUUCUUUAAUUCGAUCGAUUAGGGUAGGUCGCACCACCAAUGACAUAAGUCUCCAAGGUGUGUCAGGAGCUACAACUUCCAAAUUCAACUGCUCCAUUUCCUUUACCAACAGAGGUUGCAUAGUUAUCGACAUUGCCAAAUCUUUCGUCGAUUUUCGACUUAAAGCAUCUGCUACAACAUUAGCUUUUCCUGGAUGAUAGAGGAUAGUCAAAUCAUAAUCCUUGAGCAACUCCAACCAUCUACGUUGUCUCAAGUUUAAUUCUUUCUGAGUAAACAGAUACUUUAAGCUUUUAUGAUCCGUAUACACUUCGCAACGCUCGCCAUAGAGAUAGUGGCGGCAAAGCUUUAAAGCAAAUACCACGGCUGCUAACUCAAGAUCAUGUGUAGGGUAGUUCUUUUCAUAAUCUUUCAAUUGGCGAGAUGCAUAAACAAUUACUCUAUCAUUCUGCAUUAGAACACACCCUAAUCCAUUUAGCGACGCAUCGCUGUAAAUCACAUAAUCUACUCCAGUAACAGGUAGUGCUAAAAUCGGGGCGGUGGUCAAUUGCUCCUUCAGCUCUUGAAAGCUUCUUUCGCAAGCUUCAUUCCAUAGAAAUUUAGCUCCUUUAUGUGUAAGUCGAGUGAGAGACGUAGACAUCUUUGCAAAUCCUUCUACAAAUCUUCGGUAGUAUCCUGCCAAACCAAGAAAACUCCGAAUCUCGGUGACAUUAGUCGGCCUAGGCCAAUCUUUAAUCGCUUCAAUCUUCUUUAGGUCCACCGCGAUUCCUAUUUCAGAAAUUACAUAUCCCAAAAAUGCCACUUCUCGAAGCCAAAAUUCAUAUUUCUUUAACUUUGCAAACAAUUUCUUUUCUCGAAGUACUUGUAACACUACUCUUAGAUGGCUUUUAUGCUCCUCGUCACUCCGAGAAUAUAUCAACAUAUCGUCGAUAAACACGACCACAAACCUGUCUAAAUAGGGCUUAAAGACACCGUUCAUUAAAUCCAUAAAGGCUGUUGGGGCAUUUGUCAGUCCAAAUGGCAUAACUGUGAAUUCAUAAUGCUCAUACCGUGUCCUAAAAGCGGUCUUGGGAACCUCUUCAGGCUUAAUCUUAAGUUGAUGAUAACCUGAUUGCAAAUCGAUCUUAGAAUACACUUUCUAUCCUUGCAGCUGAUCGAAUAAAUCAUCGAUUCUGGGUAAUGGAUAUUUAUUCUUGAUUGUGACUUUGUUGAUUUCUCGAUAAUCCAUACACAAUCGAAGAGAUCCAUCCUUUUUCUUAACAAAUAAAACCGGGGCUCCCCAGGGAGAUACACUUGGUCGAAUAAAACUUUUAUCGAAUAAAUCUUGCAAUUGUACCUUCAGCUCUUUCAACUCAACGGGUGCCAUCCUAUAGGGUGCUUUUGAGAUUGGGAUAGUCCCAGGGACAAGAUCUAUCACAAACUCAACUUCCCUAUCAGGUGGCAUACCCGGCAACUCAGCUGGAAAUACAUCCUCGAAUUCUCGCAUAACUGGAAUAUCUUUAAUCUUGACAGCUCCUCCGUCACUCACCGAAAUGCUAGCCAAAUAGGCUACACACCCUCUUCGAAUCAACUAUCGUACUCGCGAAGAGCUAAUGGUCAUUGCGAACAAUGAACUCUGACACCCCUUAUAAACAAACUCUUGCUGACCCGGUUCUCUAAAGGUCACCGUUCUGCUCGUGCAAUUUAUGGUCGCAUAAUAUUAUGUUAGCCAAUCCAUACCCAAUACUACAUCAAACUCACCUAGUUUGUGUAGUGCCAAAAGAUCCACUGGCAUAAUCCAGUCGCCUACUCUAACGGGGCAGCGAGGGCAAAACUCACGAACAUCUAGGGUAUGGUCGAGCACGAUCACUCGUCCCGGAUGCAAAGUAGGUACUACCUGAAUGCUAUGCAACUCGACGAACUGCCGAUCAAUAAAAGAAUGCGAAGCACUAGUAUCAAAUAAAGCACGAACACGAACAUCAUAAAGUAUAAUGAUACCUGCUAUGACCUUCUCCGCUGCUGCAGCCUCCUCAGUCUCGGCAGCAUACAUGCGCCCACUCGAACUCUGUAGAGGACUCUCAGACUGCCGUUGUCCCGGUGAUCGUCUGUACUGCGAGGGUGCUGUCGGGGUCCCCUGGCUCGGAGCAGAAGAUGCAGGUGCUGAUGCUGAUGAUAGUGCAGGUGAAGGACCUCUCGGGCACUCUGAACGAUAGCGGCCCUCCUGGCCACUGAUAAAACACCUACCCCCACGUUGUGGACACUGUGGUGGAAAGUGAGGCCCACCACAAAUGACACAACGUGGCUGUCGACGACGCUCGGGUGCUCCACGGGAUGCUGAAGAACCUCGACCUCUAGACUGGCCCGGCUGGCCCCUGGGAUACUUCGGCGGUCUCCUGAAGGGUUGCUAACCACUGCUCUCAGCUGCUGGCCUUUUUCCUUUACUCUGAUCCACAACAUCUCUUUCCUUCAUAAUCUCCGCCCCCUUUUCCACAAUCAAAGCCCGGUUCACUACUUCCCUGUAAGUGGAAAGGUUUGACGCCUGGACCAAUCUGAAAAUCGCAGGCCGCAAACCUACCUCAAAAAUCCGAGCCUUAUCCUCAUCAUCUCGGACCACAAAAGGAACACAAUGCAGUAAUCGGAAGAACUCUCGCUCAUACUCAGCUAUUGUCCUGUCCCCCUGUCUCAGGUUUCUUAAAUCCCUUUCCAUUUGCCUUUUUACACUCUGAGGAAAAUAAGUAGUCAACAGUAAUUCCUUGAACCUCGUCCAGGUAAUAGCGGACAAAUCAGUACGAGGAUCCUCACGAAUAUCCACCCACCACCUGUAACCCUCGCCAUCGAGAUGGUGUGUCGCAAACCAAACCCGAUAUCCCUCAUCGACGAAAGUAUCAUAAAACAGUUUCUCCAUGUGCAUCAGCCAUUUCUCGACCACCCAAUGAUCAGCUUUUUCUCCGUCAAAAAUACGAGGGUUGCAACGACGAAAUUCAUUCAAUUGUUCCAUCAUCCGCUCUCGCUCCUCAGCCCCCACCAUCUCUGGUAACACUGUCCCUGAUGCCGCUACAGAUACUGGUGGUCGUACUACUGUCUCCUGUCGGGUCUCUACCCUCGGAGCUACUGGGGGUGUGUCAAGUAUUGGUGACUGUGCUCUCACUGUCGCAUCCCUGUCUGGUACUGUAGGUAUAGGAUCAGGAAUAUCCCUGUCAGUCGUCUGCCGCAGUAGUAAAUCCUCUAAUCUCUUCAUCCUGUCCUCAUGCCGACGCACGGCAUCCAUCUGCUGUCGCGCUGCCGCAGCCUGCUGAGCAAUCAAAUCCGUCAGCUUCGUGAGCUGAUCUUGCAACUCAUGGAUCCCACUAGAUCCAGAAGUAACGGAGGUCCCCACUUCCUCCGCAUCCGCCGCCUCAGCUGCCCCGGCGGCUUGCAAACGAGUUAAAGGCAUCUUGAGCUGCAGCACAAAAAGAAAAAUAGAUUAAUAAAACCUAUACUAUUAAACCUUUACUUCAGGUAUAAACCAACUAAUCAAGCGAAAGUAAUGAAAUGUAACGCGUACUAACUUCCGAUGUCACAUUGUUGGCCGCCAAUGUGGCCCUCUGCAAAGUUAGUAAUUGCACAUUCCGAUCAAACUCCUACCAUUCGGAGUUUAUCAAUCACCCAAUCAAAGUACUUUCGCUACCAACAACCUCAACUAGACCUCGUCUCUCACGAGCCUAUUCUUAUAGUCCAACCAGCCUAAGGUUUGCUAGGUCUACUAAGACGCAACCCUAGGCUCUGAUACCACUAUAAUCUGUCACGCCCGGGUACCAGCGAAAGCAUAUCCGGUACGUGCACAGACCCGCCAUACACCUACAGUAUAGAAGGCGUCUACAAGAAAGCGAGUCGAUAGGAGAAAACAUAGAAAAUUCCUAUCAUGAUAUCAGAGCAUGUAUAAGUCAAUAGGACUAUCAACAAAAGAACAAGAAUAUCCAACUCAAAAUAUAAGUACAAAAGAAAGUACUAAAACUAUAACAUCUGGAUCCAAAGACUCAUAUACAACACAGGGUACACAAAAUAUCUGUACAAUGGUAGCCUCUCUAUACAGUGGACAUCACCCUCGGCCGCAGCCCGAGUAGCAAGGUGAUCGACUAGCACGCUCCUAGCAAGGUCUAGCUAGACGCGACUCCCUUGCCACGAUCUCUAGCCUCUCUUGUAGAUAGCUCUAUAAAAACAACCAUAAAAAGGGCGUGAGAACUAUUAACAAUAGUUCCCAGUGGGUAAGCCGCCAGCCUCGGCGAAUUACACCACUAGGCUCAUGAUGUACUAAAUGAAAGGAAAAGCGAUAAUUGCAUGAUAUAUAUAUGCAGUGUUAACAGGUAAUCGGCAUAUAAUCAACAUGUAAACAUGAUUUCUACAGUAAUGAAUCAACUAAAUAAUCGAAGUAUAGCAACUACUAUAAACAUGAGCACAAAUAUGGAUGUGUAAGUUAAUACUAUACACUAUAACUGACGAGCAUUCAUUACUGUCUUUUGUCAUUUAGUACUUUUAUUUCAUUCGUAAGGACCUACUCAAAGUAGUCCAGCUUGCACCGCGCCUAAUGGCCCCGUGGUAAUAUACACUCCCCACAGCAAUCCACUUCGGCACCCAAUCCCGCACGGGCGAGCAACUGUCGCAUAGGCCAACUCCGGAGUGCCGGCUUGUAGGGAGCGACCCUCACAAGCGUGUGGAAUGAGCACGAUGGCAAGCAAGCAAAGUACAUAGUCCAACAUAGCUCAAACAUUAUGGCAUAGUAUGCCAUGUUCUUACUCUCGAUCUAUUGAUCGGAAUUCUUAAUAUAAUAACAAUGACAAUAGCUAGCAUCCACUAGUAAGCACAUGGAAGUAAUGCUAAUUCAUAUAUGGCAUUAGAACUUUCUAAUCUCCAGGUACUAUCAAAACAGUCACAAGUAAUGUCAUUGUUGUCUAUUAUACUAAAGCAUAAUUAUUAUGUCCAUUAGUUACUCAAUUGAACUAAACAUAAACACGAGCAUAAAUACAAAUAUGCAUGAGUUCUCUCUACUUCAUGGAGGUUCUAUUUCCCUUAUGUCAAACGUUAUAGCACAGAUGUUCCAAAUCCUUUAGCGACCAUAUAGUGACAAAACGCACGACUAUAUCAAUUAUAUAGUAACAUAUAGAACAUAGGGGGAGCUUCACUUGCUCUGGUUAGAUCAAACCCACCUAUUACUAGGCUCAAAUCAGUUCCACGACGUCUCGAAAUUCAGCUCUACUAGACUUCAACCCUGCUGAAAACAAUACAUCAGAACCGCGUCGAGUCGAUUAAUUAAGAAUCCAAUUUCGGCAAAACUCUUAAGUAGAAUAAGGUAGUAACUUGAAUUCCUGGUUUGGGUUACAUUAGUACCUCAAAUGUAACCUCUAAGAGUCCUC